CGGCGCGCUCUUCCUCCUCCGUCUCGGCUGCGCCCGGAGGGAAGGCGGAGGGAGGGGCUCACGGGCUGGGUCCGUCGGGGACUCUUCACAGCGCCUCGGCUGAAAAGCGAGAGCCUCUCCUCGCCGCAGCCUUCUGGGGCUGUGGGUACCGCGCGAGAUAGGUCUUUGUUCUCUGUCUGUGAAGGAAUUCUGUCUUCCCUGUAGAUGGAGGUGAAAUUCAAGAGGUACUGGAGUGCACCAGAGGAUUGCUUAGUCUACAGCAACAGCAUGCAACACUGAGCAAAUGGUGUCUAGGAUCCAUGUCUGUCCUUACACCAUCAGGACUGCAGGGACACUGG